UCUGUGGGCGCCUCGCUCAAUGACUUGGAUACUAUUGGGGAUGCUGUUCUGUCUCUGAACCUCACUGGCGUUUCCUCUGCUCCAUAUGGAAUCUUGUCAAGUCUGGAAAACAACUAAAUAUUUCCAGAGGUAUUUAUUAAAAGAAAAUGCUAAGAAGAUUCAGGCAGAAAUUCAGCUUGAAGGUGUUGCAGAACAAACAGAAAACCUGCAAAAGGAGCUCUCUAGAGUCUUAGCAAGCUGUCAGCAGGUGAAUAAAGCAACGACCGACAAGAACUGUCAAUGGGACUCGAGCCCUGGCCACGUUCAUUGAGCAGCUGCAUGCCAACAUCAAAGACAUCAUGGAAAAGGUGGCAGCGUUGAAUGAGACCGCACGUGGGGACGUCCAGCCAUCCAUUUCUGCUCUUCAGAGCAUGCACCAGAACAUUUCUUCUCUGCUGGAACUUACAAAGAAAAGGAAUUUCACAAAGUGGCACCAAAAUGCUACCCUUGAACUCAAGGCUGCUAAAGAGUUAUUGUCAUGAAUUCAGAAGAGGUUCCAGAAGCCCCAGGAAAAGCUGAAGGCAUUGAAGGAGGCAGCCAGUGGCCUCCUUUCAAACCACAGCGAAGAACUGCAGGCGGCAGAGGAGCUCCUGACAGAAACUGAGACCAAG